GUUUCAGCUACUAGAUUCAUUCUGAUCGGAAUUGCUGCUACUCCGCGGCAAGGGCCAAUCAACAUCGAACAAGAAGAAGAAGGGAAUAUUCGUCCCGGACUUUUUUCUGCCAUAUUCUUUCAUUUUACACAAAAAUGUGUCGAAUGAGUCUAAUUUCAUCGAAAUCGGAGAUGAGAUAGCUAUUCUGAGAAAGAGAGAGAAAGAAUUACCUCUAAUAAUUUUUGAGAAGUAAUAAUAAGGCUGAUGAACGCUGCAAUUAUCUAUAUUUUGAAAAAGAUAAUCUAAUGGAAACACACACACACUCACAGAGAGAGAGAGAGAUAAGGAAUAUAACAGAUAAAAAACAACGAGCAUUGAAAUAGCAUGUAAUGCACAUUGUAUAAUGUAAGAAAGGAUAUUAUAGAGGAGGGGAGAGACUAAUCUCGUUAGUAGACAUUCGAUCAACAUAAAAGCGUCACGUUUACAGUUUAGCUUACAAUUGUCAUUAAAAAUAUUCACAUAAUGUACGUAAUAGGAAGAUUUAUGAUGGGAAAAAGCAACCCAGACUUUAGAUUGAAAUGGUUGCCUUACUGUAUCAGUGGUAAAUCAUAUCAUAGCAAAAAUGGUGUUUAUGGGUAUAAAUGGAUUCAACGGAAGCACUUUGAAGUGCCAAAAGAAUAUCUAGAUGAACGAGCGAGACAGAGCAAUUUUUACAGAUUAGUCAGUGCAUAUAGAACUCAUGGACAUAAACAAGCAGUCAUAAAUCCCAUUUCUACUAGUAAACCACAGUUAUUAUCUGAAUUGCAACCAAAGAAUUUUAGACUAAAUUUACUGGAUAAAGUUCGUUUUCGAGGAAUUUUAUUUACACAACAAGAUGAAGGAACAAUAGAAGAAGCCAUUCAAUUUUUACAUGCUACUUACAGCGGUGCUGUUGGAACUGAAUUUAGUUAUCUCGAGACGGAAGAAGAGAGGGAAUGGUUUGCCGAAACUGUAGAAAAAGUUUUAGCCGAACCAUUAAAUAAUGAAACACGUAAAACAAUAGCCACGGAAAUGCUCAAAAGUCAAGCUUUUGAUAACUUUCUGGCCAUAAAAUUUGUCAGUUUAAAGAGAUAUGGAGGAGAAGGAGCCGAGAGUAUGAUGGCUUUCUUUCAUGAGCUUUUCAAACUAUGUGCCUUUGAUAAUUUGGAACACGUAAUUAUUUGCGCUGCACACCGCGGUCGCCUUAAUUUAUUAACGGGACUACUAAACUUUCCACCAGAGAAAUUAUUUCGUAAAUUACGAGGACUUUCUGAAUUUCCGGAUGCAACCAGGUGUACUGGAGACGUAAUUAGCCACCUCGUAAGCUCUACUGAUCUUAAUAUAGAUAAAAAGGGUCUUCACGUAACCAUGCUUCGAAAUCCGUCGCAUUUAGAAAUAGUAAAUCCUGUGUCGAUGGGAAAAACACGAGGAGUUAUGCAGACAAUUAAAGAAGCCGCGUACAGCGAUAAUGAAGAUGCAAUAUGGAGUGAUAAAGUAAUAAACAUUCAGAUACAUGGAGAUGCUGCCUAUCCAGGACAGGGAGUUAAUCAGGAAUGCUUAGUUUUAAGCAAAACGCCACAUUUUGAAAUUGGUGGUACAAUUCAUUUAAUGAUUAAUAAUCAAUUAGGUUUCACAUCUCCACCUUCAAGGAGUCGAUCCUCAAGAUAUUGCACAGAUUUAGCGAAAACUAUAUCUGCACCUGUAAUUCAUGUAAACGGUGACAAUCCUGAGAUGGUUGUGCGAGCUGCAAGAAUAGCCUUUAAAUAUCAAAGACAUUUUAGAAAGGAUGUGUUUGUUGAUUUAAAUUGUUUCAGAAGAUGGGGUCACAAUGAACUAGAUGAUCCUACAAUCACUAACCCCCUCAUAUAUAAAAUUAUACAAAAUCGUGCAUCUGUACCAGAUCGAUAUGCAGAGAAGUUAGUAGACAUCAACAUUCUUACUCGAGAAAAUGUUGAAAAUAUCAUCGACAAUCACAUAACGUGGUUGAAUAAGACUCUGAAAGAAUCUUCGAAGGAUGCAUCGAGACCGUCAACCGUUUAUGCUGGAAGAUGGGCGAAAAUGAAGCAAGCUGAAGCUAAUAUAACGCAAUGGGAUACUGGUGUUGAACUAGGGUUGCUACAUUUCGUCGGAGAAAAAAGUGUUCAAAUGCCACCAAAUUUUGCUAUUCAUCCACAAUUAUUAAAGAAUCAUGUCCAAAAUCGUCUAAAAAAAAUCGAAAGCGGCGACGCAUUAGAUUGGUCAACUGCUGAAGCGUUAGCCAUCGGUUCUUUAUUAUAUCAAGGAUAUAAUGUAAGAAUAAGUGGACAGGAUGUGGGCCGUGGUACUUUUUCGCAGAGGCACGCAAUGCUCGUUGAUCAAUCUACAGAAGCUAUUUUUAUUCCACUGAAUUCCAUGGUUGGCAAUCAAACUGGCAAAUUAGAGAUAGCCAACAGUAUUCUAUCUGAAGAAGCUGUACUAGGUUUCGAAUAUGGUAUAAGUAUAGCAUCACCGUUUACGUUGCCUAUUUGGGAAGCUCAAUUUGGAGAUUUUUUCAAUGGAGCACAAAUCAUUAUUGAUACAUAUAUAACAAAUGGAGAAGCAAAGUGGAUGCUGAGUAGCGGUUUAACAAUGCUUUUACCACAUGGAUAUGACGGUGCUGGACCGGAACAUAGUAGUUGCAGACUUGAAAGAUUUUUACAAUUAACGAACAGUAAGGAAAACGGUGUCGACGGUGAUGAUGUUAAUAUACAUAUUGUGAAUCCCAGUGAACCAGCACAAUAUUUCCAUUUAUUAAGAAGACAGAUGAUAAGGGAUUAUCGAAAACCUCUGAUCGUAGUAGCACCUAAAAUUUUAUUACGUCAUCCGGCAGCAGUAUCACCUUUAUCUGAUUUUGAACUUCGAACAAGCUUUAAAAGUAUUAUCGAGAGAGAGAGAGAGAGAGAGAGAGAGAGAGAGAUGACGACGGACGACAAUGACACAACAUGGUGACAGUAUAGAUUGGAUGUGUGGAUAACACCGUGCGAAUUGCUAGUCUGAGCGCAAAAACAGCAAUUUGAUGUUGAGUUGUGAAAAUUGUUACAAGAUUUUAUUGUUAUUGUAUGAAAAUCUGUACGCGCACACACGCACAUUUGAUAAUUAGAUGAGGUCGAUAAUUUUUUCAUAAAAACUGACUCGACUAUUCUAAUUCACUUUGUAUACGAAUAAUAUAUACAAAGAGAUGAUAAAGCAGAAAAAUGUAACGUUACUAAGGUCAUUUUAGUCAGUGGAAAACACUAUUAUGUACUUAACAACUAUC
rnacentral:misc_RNA from 1 species